GACGAACGCUGGCGGCGUGCUUAACACAUGCAAGUCGAACGGUGAUGCUCCAGCUUGCUGGAGUGGAUCAGUGGCGAACGGGUGAGUAACACGUGAGCAACCUGCCCCAGACUCUGGAAUAAGCGCUGGAAACGGCGUCUAAUACUGGAUACGAAACUGGCCCGCAUGGGCAUGGUUUGGAAAGUUUUUCGGUUUGGGAUGGGCUCGCGGCCUAUCAGCUUGUUGGUGAGGUAAUGGCUCACCAAGGCGACGACGGGUAGCCGGCCUGAGAGGGCGACCGGCCACAAUGGGACUGAGACACGGCCCAGACUCCUACGGGAGGCAGCAGUGGGGAAUAUUGCACAAUGGGCGCAAGCCUGAUGCAGCGACGCCGCGUGAGGGAUGACGGCCUUCGGGUUGUAAACCUCUUUCAGCAGGGAAGAAGCGAAAGUGACGGUACCUGCAGAAGAAGCACCGGCUAACUACGUG
rnacentral:rRNA from 1 species